GGGAACGGCGGGCAGGGGGCGGGGGUAGUACGGAGGUGGCAAGCGGUUGCCGGAUGUAAUGGGGUUAAAGGGUGUGGAGGCGGGUAUUUAAGUCCGAUGUGAAAUCUCGGGGCUCAACUCAGGAACGUCCUUGGAUACGAUGGAACUUGAAUAUAGUUGAGGUAGGCGGAAUAUGUCAUGUAGCGGUGAAAUGCAUAGAUAUGACAUAGAACACCAGUUGCGAAGGCAGCUUGCUAAACGAUGAUUGACGCUGAGGCACGAAAGCGUGGGGAUCAAACAGGAUUAGAUACCCUAGUAGUC
rnacentral:rRNA from 1 species